GUCAUGCGGCGAGCACAGGCAGGCUGGGUUUGUUUGCCUGACUGCCCUCCAGGAAUUAUAGCUGGGACACAGAAACACUCCUUUAUAAGCCCACAGGCUGUUGGAGCCACUGCAGAGAAGAUAGGGGGAGAGGAGGAGGGAAGACCGAAUGAGUGGAGCGAUGAGGAGAGAUCGAGAGGAGGAUUAUGACAAAGGAGGCUAAUCGAUUGAGGCCUGCUGAAGUGUGAUACUGUACUAAACGUUGAUGACUUAUUGAUCCAUCCAGACUGGAUUAAAACUCGCUGGAUCGUGGAUUGUUUAGGUAGCCUGUCCUGCGUCCCCCUCUCUCUCUCUCUCUCUCUCUCCCUCCCGCCCUCUCUCAGGCGUACUAAACACUGCAGGCAACACUAGGGAUAUGAACUCACAUACUGGUUUGCAGAUAGUUAUGUGAGACUGCAGUAUAGGGUUCAGUGAAUAAUUAAGAAUUUUGUUGUUGCUCCAGUGAACGGCAUACUUCACCACUUCUCUCUCUCAUACACACAAACACAUCAUUUCAUUCUACUUGUACACACAAAUAACCAAAUGAUACUAUAUUCAUGUCUACACACACGUCACACACACCUGUACUAAGUGACGUUUGCCUACAGCUCAUUAAAACGCACAGUCUCAAUUAUUCAGUAGGUCUGAACAGGUUUUGUCUGGAGGAAUAGAAAAAAGAUGGAGAGAUGGAGGUGAAGAUGGAGGGAUAGAGAUGGAGGUGCAGAUGGAGGGAUAGCGGUGCAGAUGGAGGGAUAGCGGUGCAGAUGGAGGAAUAGCGGUGAAGAUGGAGAUAUAGCGGUGAAGAUGGAGGUGAAGAUGGAGGGAUGGAGGUGAAGAUGGAGGGAUGGAGGUGAAGAUGGAGGGAUGGAGGGAGGGAAGGAGGGAGGACUUCCAAAGCGUAUCCAAAAACUAGAAAAGAAAAGGGGAAGAAACGAAAAGCCCUUAUCCUGGAAGUAUCUCAGGCCGAGGGUACGCUGAAGUGUUACUUUGCCGGGGUGAGGAAAAAU
rnacentral:lncRNA from 1 species